UCGUGCUCUUUUGCCAUUCCUACACCCAGAUAACAACAAUACAUACAAGAUUAGUGUGGCCCUGCACAAUAAUGGCACACAGAUUUGUGAAGUGUUUUACUCUUUU
rnacentral:snRNA from 1 species